GCACAGCAUCGAAAAUUUCAAUAUUGACAAGUGACAGUUUCAUGUUCCGUAAUUCUUGAUUAUUGAUGAAAAGCAUUUGGUGUAUGUUAAAAAAAAAUUUAUUUUAUUUUUUCAUAUUCAAUACAAUGUCAAACAUCAAGUAUAGAACUAACAAAAUAGUGCAUAAACGCCACUGAAUUCUUAGGAAUGGUGCAUAAACCAACCAUUUCUAGUGGUAGUGUAAUUCUUAGGCAUGGUGCAUAAACCAACCAUAUAUCAGGUGACCACAAAGUGAAAAAGACAUCUUGCAACCAGGAAACAUUGCAAAUUCGUGGGAGUUCCAUCAUCCCCUUAAGCGGAGGCAACCCCCACAGGAAUAUUAAAUGGCAAUAGGGAUCAAGUGACACAUAAGGUUUUGAAAUUCUACUUUUAGUAUGCUACAGAAUGUCUGUUUGGCGUUCAUUUUGAUGUGAAAAUACAAACAAAUAAUCAAAUUUU